UUGCAAAUCCCUAAAAUUUAAAAUAAAUAUAAUUUAUAAAUAAGACAUUGUGUUGGCUCAGUACACCGGUCCGCUCUGACUUUACUCUUAUAUUAGAGAAUGCGACAACUGUAGAAUGGGCAAAAUCCGAGUUAUAUGAGAUAAUACUCAGCGUGCCGAACAAUUUACAUCUAAAAAUUACACAAAUUUGCUAAGGAUAUGUAUACGCAAAUGAUAUUAAAUCUACCAGUUUCUAUCUAAAGAAAAUUAAAAUUAAUAA